UGCUAAUUCUCAGUCUCCAGUUUCCACCACCACCAGCAGCCCCCUCCUUUUGAAGCUUUGAAUUUGAAUGGGACCAGAAGAAUCUCUGGGGGUCAUGUUUGUGGCCCUUGAGAAGCAGCCUCUCUACUGCUUUCAGCUGAUUUCCUGGCAUGUUUCGUGGGGAUUUGUGAUGAACAUGGAAUUUUCCUCUGUGUCUGACGGCUGUGCACUUCCUUCGUGCCUCUUGUGAUGCUCUAUAUUUGUGAUGGCCAAGAGAUACAGCUGUCGGGAAAACACUCAACAGAUGGCUGUUGUGGGGUGAUGCUUCAUCCUUUUUUGCAGGCUCUCGGAUACCUAAGCUCAGGAUUUCCGUAAGUGCUGGUGAGCAAUGGACUCCUUUUGAGCAACAUACGUUUGGAAUGUUCAGUGACAAAAUUCAUCCUCCUCCAAAAAAUGAGAAGAAACUGAUGUGUCCAUAUGAAAUGAAUGUGCACUAUCAUACUCAAAUGUAUUGUCCUUGGAAACUUUGUAACCAGUACUGAAAAAAGCAAGUAACUAGAUAGAGAGCCUGAUAUGUUGGGUAGAUGGUUAGAUCGCUUUUCUUUCAGCAGGAGAGUGAGGCAAGAUCAAUCAGUUCUUUCAUUUUUGUAAAGCUCUUUAAAGAUUGGCUUUAUAUUUUUUAGAAAGAGCAAUUUAACCUUGGCUUCAGUAAUGACACGACUUGUUGAAUGACUUAAUCUCUGAUGAAAUUAGUCUGAGUGGUUUAAGAAUUAAUUAAGUGGUUUUUUUUUACAUUUCAGGUAACAUUUUGCCGUGAAAUACUUAUGCUUCUAUCUUUGUUAUUUAUACAGCACGUGGAUGUGUAGAACAUUAUUAUGGGGACGGGAAAAUAAGAGGAAGUUGAUUGACAAAGAUUCGAAACACUGCACUGAACGAUUCUUGUAGUUGUGCUAGAGUAUCAGUAUUCAGAAUCUGUGUUACAGAAUCCAUUAUAAAUUAUGACCAACUCAUGUUUCUUCCUCUUAAGGACACAAACUCUAAAACCUCAUUUCUGUCCAGGGAACAUUCUGGGUUGUCUGGAUGUAUCUUUUUUAACACAAUGAUGAGACAGUAUUGAAUAAUAGGUAUAUAUCGUGCUUCUGUGCUCUAGACAACGUCCUGAGCAUGCCUGCCUUACCCUCAAUCCCCCUCUAUUGCUACUAAAUAAUAUUUGACUAUCUUCAGUUUGACCUGAAUGUGAGUAUAAGCCAAUAAAAUCUUAAAAGCAGCAAACAUGAGGAUAACCAUGUCCCAGAGGGUUAAGUUUAAUUUUGUGAAAAUUGUCUUUUCUUUUUUGUGUUAGCAAAAUCAUGUCCAGCAGUUCACAGAGAUUUGUAUUUCUUCUAAAACAUGACACUGUGACAUUA